rnacentral:rRNA from 1 species
AUUGAACGCUGGCGGUAUGCUUAACACAUGCAAGUCGAACGGCAGCAUGGUCUAGCUUGCUAGACUGAUGGCGAGUGGCGGACGGGUGAGUAACGCGUAGGAAUAUGCCUUGAAGAGUGGGACAACUUGGGGAAACUCAAGCUAAUACCGCACGUACUCGAGAGAGUAAAGCUGGGGACCUUUAGGCCUGGCGCUUUAAGAUUAGCCUGCGUCCGAUUAGCUAGUUGGUAGGGUAAAGGCCUACCAAGGCGACGAUCGGCAGCUGGUCUGAGAGGAAGAACAGCCACACUGGAACUGAGAGACGGUCCAGACUCCUACGGGAGGCAGCAGUGGGGAAUAUUGGACCAUGGGGGGAACCCUGAUUCAGCAAUGCCGCGUGUGUGAAGAAGGCCUGAGGGUUGUAAAGCACUUUCAGUGGGGAGGAGGUUUGGAAGGUUAAGAGCUAUUCAAAUGGACGUUACCCACAGAAGAAGCACCGGCUAACUCCGUGCCAGCCGCCGCCGUAA